AAGGUUUUUUUUUGCAAGAUGUUCACCAGCAGCUGAGCGAGCGUUGGCAGGCCACGGGGGCUGUGCUGUGCUGAAGGUCGUCCGUAGCGUGAUCUGCUAGCGCUCGCAAUUCUCCUCUCCACCACGCCGGCGACGGCAGCCGGUGACCAGUACCUACAUGUCCAGCCUGAGGUCGCUAGCCAGCGCACUGAUCGGGGACGCCGCGAGGCUUCACUCGGCCACUGGCUCUGCCGGGGAGGAGCCUGACAGGGUCUACGGCGCCGUGCUCUGCCGGGCGGACUCCGCUGGUGCUAACUACAGGCGCCGCCGGGGUGCCCUUGGCGCCAUCGACGGCGACGGCCACUCACCUUGCGCGCUCCACAGCGACGUGACCGUCUACUCCGAGCUGUACCAUCUCCGUUUCUCUGACAGGAACUUCCUCGCCAACUUCAAGAACGCGCCGAAAUGGGCCGACGUCAAAUUAUGGUUUCUCUCAGACUGCUAAUGGUACAUAGCAGAUUUACAAGGGAGUAUUUACUGAUGGACAAGAGGUAGCAAUAAAAAGACUGUCUGCUCACAACAAGACGGGUGUUUGUUAUGGCUUAAAAUUAGAUUCUAACCGUCAGAAUCCGAUUCUUGUAGCCAAAGGCUUCACUUCUUAGCUUGUUUCUAUGAGAAUCGUUUCCAUGAAAAUCACUCAAAUAAUCCGCAAAUAAUCCGUCAAGUUUUGUCACGAUGAGAAAAAUUCGUUGCUUUCUAGAUCCUAAACUCUAUAAACUAUUCUAGCUUCCUCUAUAGUCUGCAAGUAAUCCCGCGAUAUUUAGAUUAUCUUGACAACUAGACUAUACAAGAAUCCAGAUUCUCAGAAAAGCUCUUUAGAAAAAAGCUAUACCAAACAUACCCCUUUAGAUAUCGCGAUAUUCAGGUUUUAGCAAAACUUAAGCACAAAAUCCUUGUUAGACUCCUUGGUCGUUGCAUCCAUGAAGAGAAGAUGCUGAUAUACGAAUAACUGACGAACCAAAGCUUGGACCACUUCAUUUUUGAUCCAAUCAUGCAUGCAUCACUUAAAUAGAAGAGAGGAGUCAAAAUAGCUGAUGGUAUAGCCCAGGGACUCCUGUACCUUCACAACCUCUCCUGAAUACGCAUCGUCCAUAGGGUCUUGAAAGCAAGUAAAAUCCUGUUAGAUUUCUGAUCUAAACCCUAAGAUUUCUGAUGUUGGGAUGGCAAGGAUAUUUCCAUCGGAUGCCACUCAAGCAACAGCCAGCAGACUUGUGGGCACAUAGUAAGGGUAUUGUUAUACUAGUUCUGUUACUUACUAAUAUUUCUAUCUAAGGAAUUGUAUUCUGACUAGCCCCAUUCUCUUCUUUUCUAGUGGAUACAUGGCUAAUGAAUUGCAUCUGAUGGCCUUCUCUCGAUCAAGUCAGAUGUUUUCAGUUUAGUAUUAAUGGUGUAUCUGUAUGGUGUUCUACAUUAUUUCCUUCCAUAAAGUAUUGAACUCAAAGUACAGGGGGUUUCCUGUACCUCCCUGUUUUA